GCUUGUCUCAAAGAUUAAGCCAUGCAUGUCUAAGUAUAAGCACUUAUACUGUGAAACUGCAGAUGGCUCAUUAAAUCAGUUAUAGUUUAUUUGAUGAUUAACUGCUACAUGGAUAUAACUGUGGCAAUUCUAGAGCUAAUACAUGCGUCAAAAUCCAACCGGCAACGGGAGGAUUGUAUUUAUUAGAUAAAAAACCAACAGCGGUCGCAAGGCCGUUUUUCUGGUGAUUCAUAAUAACUGUUCGGAGCCCAUGCGCUUGUCGCGGGGCCAGGUCAUUCAAAUUUCUGCCCUAUCAGCUUUCGAUGGUAGUGUAGUGGACUACCAUGGCAUUUACGGGUGACGGAGAAUUAGGGUUCGAUUCCGGAGAGGGAGCCUGAGAAAUGGCUACCACAUCCAAGGAAGGCAGCAGG
rnacentral:rRNA from 1 species